UCUCUUAUCUUUGACUCUUCACUCCUUUCUUAUAGCUGACUCUUCUGUUUGAGGAAGAGUCGUUUUUUGUUUUUAGCAAGACAUCACUCCCACGUAACGACUUAGUAUAGCUCUAAGUGGUCUUAGCUGUGUAAAGCCUUCUUCCAGCUCACUUGAUAUACCUAGGAUCAAUAAUUCAUCCAGGCAGUCAGCAAUCGUCAAGACUCAUAAAAUAAAGAUAUUCAUUGGAAGAUAAUAAAACUGGAGUUGUGCAAAUAAUGUUGGAGGUUUAUCAGAUCCAAUUAAGAGCUGGGAGUUUAAUGAAGUGCUCUAUCAUAAGAGAACAAGCAUUGUUUGUACGUUAUUCAUAUCGGUUGAUGGGAUAGCCGUGGUACAACAUUGAUGUCCUCUACACCAUUUCCUUUUGGC